AUUGAACGCUGGCGGCAGGCCUAACACAUGCAAGUCGAGCGGAUGAAGGGAGCUUGCUCCUGGAUUCAGCGGCGGACGGGUGAGUAAUGCCUAGGAAUCUGCCUGGUAGUGGGGGAUAACGUCCGGAAACGGGCGCUAAUACCGCAUACGUCCUGAGGGAGAAGGUGGGGGAUCUUCGGACCUCACGCUAUCAGAUGAGCCUAGGUCGGAUUAGCUAGUUGGUGGGGUAAAGGCCUACCAAGGCGACGAUCCGUAACUGGUCUGAGAGGAUGAUCAGUCACACUGGAACUGAGACACGGUCCAGACUCCUACGGGAGGCAGCAGUGGGGAAUAUUGGACAAUGGGCGAAAGCCUGAUCCAGCCAUGCCGCGUGUGUGAAGAAGGUCUUCGGAUUGUAAAUCACUUUAAGUUGGGAGGAAGGGCAGUAAGUUAAUACCUUGCUGUUUUGACGUUACCAACAGAAUAAGCACCGGCUAACUUCGUG
rnacentral:rRNA from 1 species